CGACCUCCCGCGACACCGCGCACCUUGUCGUCGUCCAGGCCCUGCGGCCGCGCGCCUCCUCGCCUCGUCCAGUCCGCGCUGCCACCCCUCCUCGUCCCCAUCGACGCCCCGGCCAAGAACAAAUCAUCAAUUCUGAUCGUGCUUGGCUGUUUAUAGCUCUGACCUUCCACCAACUGACAAGCAACAAGUCAAGUGAUCUGUUCCUGGUUUACCAAUUGUUGGCAAUCUUCUUCAGUUGAAAGAAAAGAAACCCCACCAAACCUUUACAAAAUGGGCUGAAAUUUAUGGGCCAAUUUACACUAUAAAGACAGGUGCUUCUUCUGUAGUUGUGCUCAAUUCAACUGAAGUAGCCAAGGAG